GAACGCACCUUGCGCUCCUUGGUAUUCCGAGGAGCAUGCCUGUUUGAGUGUCAUUAAUAUAUCUAUCAAACUUCUCUUGUUGAGUGGUUUGGAUGUGGGGGUUUGCUGGCCUUGUAAAGGGUUCAGCUCCCCUGAAAUGCAUUAGCAGAACAACCCUGUUCAUUGGUGUGAUAACUAUCUACGCUAUUGAAUGUAAGGGGCAGUUCAGCUUUCUAACGGUCCUCGGACAAAUUCAUCAUUAAUGUGACCUCAAAUCAGGUAGGACUACCCGCUGAACUUAAG
rnacentral:misc_RNA from 1 species